UACGUAGGUGGCAAGCGUUGUCCGGAUUUACUGGGCGUAAAGAGCGCGCAGGCGGCCAAGUCAGUCGAAUGUGAAAGCCCCCGGCUCAACUGGGGAGGGUCAUUCGAUACUGCUCGGCUCGAAGACAGGAGAGGGAAGUGGAAUUCCCGGUGUAGUGGUGAAAUGCGUAGAUAUCGGGAGGGACACCAGUGGCGAAGGCGACUUUCUGGCCUGUUCUUGACGCUGAGGCGCGAAAGCUAGGGGAGCAAACGGG
rnacentral:rRNA from 1 species